CUUGGCAGGAGAUACAAAAAAUAACAAGAAGGGAUUCUACAGGUACAUUCUCAGAAGAGAAAGGCCAAGGUAGAGUGUAUCCCCUCUGAUAAAUGGGAAAGGAGAGCUGGCUACAACAGACAUGGAGAAGGCUGAGGUACUCAAGGAGUUCGGAGUUCUUUACCUCAUCCAUCACUGCUGGUGAGGCUUCACAUGCCUCUUGUGUCUGAACUUCUAAGUGGGGCUUGGGGGAGUAAAAUUCCUCCCAUUGUAAGAGAAGAGCAAGUUGGAGACAACUUCAUUAAAUUGAAUAUGUACAAGUCUAUGGGCUGGACUACAUACAACCUGGAGUUCUGAAGGAACUGGCUGAAGCACUCUACAUCACAUUUGAAAAGUUAUGGCUGUGAGGUGAACUCCCCAGUGACUGGAGAAAGGGAAAUAUCACUCCUAAUUUUAAGAAGGGGAGAAAGGAAGACCUAGUGAACUACAGCCGCUACAAAGUGCCUUAAUUAUAUCAAGACAGAAAUGAAUAGUCCAUGAUUUAGCAACUGCAGUACAACUAGGAGAAAUUAGGUGACGACAGAAAAUUUGCACUGGAGGACCAAGAUACCAUACUUUUCCAGCCUAGAAAUGGACCAUUACAGAAGGGAAUGCAGAUGAACAUGGCUGAACUCAGUGCUGCAGUUUACAGAAGUAUCUGCUCACAGCACAGAAUGACACAUGGCUUGUCCUACAUCACAGACAACACUAAGCAGUGUAUGGGAACAGUAGACAAGGAAAAGAAUUGUAGAAUCAUUGAAUCGCCAAAGCUGAAAAAGAUCUCCAAGACCAUCCAGUCCAACUUUCCACCUACCACCAGUAUUUCCCACUAAACCAUGUCCAUCAAUACAACAUCCAAAUGUUUCUUGAACACUUCCAGGGACAGUGACCUAACCACCUCCUUGGGCAGCCCAUUUCAGUGCCUAACCACUCCUUUGGAGAAUAAAUUUUUCCUAUUAUCCAACCUGAACCUCCCUUGGCACAAAAGAACAAAUAACAAGUGGUUUGGUUUUUCUGUCACAGGUUGUUGGUGUGGUUAAUAUUCUCUGCUUCAGUACUCUGCAUUUACAACUCUUUUGCAAUGAGGUCACACUGACAAGCCACAAACACUGCUUGUUCCUUUUAAGAAAUAGUGAUUGCUAGACGCAAAUGAAUUCAGGGAUGGCUGAGAGGUGAUCUUGCAAGACUUCAAAAUAUCAAAGUGUGUCAUUCUGAUAUGCCUGAUAAAAGUGUUAUUUAAAUAUCCAUGGAAACCAACCUUCACAUUCAACUCAGGGGCUUUGGUCAUAAAUAAAAUACUGGACUGUGAAGGGAUUUCAAAGAUAUACCUUGUCUUUUUGAUCUCUGCAGUUAAUUCUUUCUCUCAACUUGGUCCUUAGAAAGGCGAUUGAAAGUGCAGCUAAGCUAAACGUUCCGUGGGAGUGCUCUGAUCUGUUUACUGCUUUGAUGUUCUCUGUAGGCUACUGCUUCCUGUGAACCAGGAUUCCAUGGCAAAAUAUAUGUGAUUCUCCAUCUCUUUUUUUAAAAGAUUUAAUAUGCAUUUCUCUCUGCUUGUAUCUAUAUUUGCACAUGACGGGUGAGAAGCAGACACAUGGUCCUUUAUUUCCAGAGAGGUGUUCAAAAAAAGACACCAAAAUCUGUCAGAUAUCUUCAAAGCAAGUUUGGAAUUCUGUGUUACCUUUAUCAGGAUCCUCCCCAAUUUUUUAGUUGUAUAAACAGUAUUUAAGCCUUGAUGACCAUUUAACUAAAUUAAGCAAACAAACAAACAAACAAACACAGAAUUGUUGGUAUUACAUUUGAAUUGAAGGACACAAACAAUGCAUAUUCUUUCUUAGCUGAUUUUGAACCAGAAUAUUUGAACCAGAUUUUGAACCAGAUUAUUUUCCUGCCAGUGGAUAAAAGUUACAGUAUUACUUAGAACAGCCUUUUUAACAUCAUCAUUAUAAAAAUGUUACCUUUAUAACUUGUUUAUCAAUUGACUAUUUUGUAAAACUGCAGUUGGCUUAUCUGAUUGGUAAUGCUAAAAUAUCCUUCCAAUGUUUUAAAUUUUCAACAAAAAUAUCUCGGGAUGGUACGAUUCUAUGUAGUUAUGCAGUGUUUUGAGAAAAUCUUUCUUAUUUGGAUGUUACUGCUUAGCUUCAUAAUUAUACGAAACCUCAUAUCAGUGUUUUCAAAGUAUUUGUC
ensembl:lncRNA